GACGAACGCUGGCGGCGUGCCUAAUACAUGCAAGUCGAACGCAGUGGGGACGGGUGCGUAACACGUGGGCAACCUCCCGUCAGAGGGGAUAACACUUGGAAACAAGUGCUCAACCCCUACUGGUGUCUCGACCAGCUGGGAAUUAGCUAGUUGGGGAGGUAACGGCUCACCAGGGCGACGAUGCAUAGCUGGCCGGAGAGGGUGAUCGGCCACACUGGAACUGAGACACGGCCCAGACUCCUACGGGAGGCAGCAGUAGGGAAUAUUCGGCAAUGGACGCAAGCCUGACCGAGCAAUGCCGCGUGAGUGAAGAAGGUCUUCGGAGCGUAAAACUCUGUUGUCAGAGAAGCGGUAUUCAAACAGAAAGCAACGGCUAACUCCGUGCCAGCAGCCGCGGUAAUAC
rnacentral:rRNA from 1 species